AAAUUGAAGAGUUUGAUCAUGGCUCAGAUUGAACGCUGGCGGCAGGCCUAACACAUGCAAGUCGAACGGUAACAGGAAGCGCUUGCUGCUUCGCUGACGAGUGGCGGACGGGUGAGUAAUGUCUGGGAA
rnacentral:rRNA from 2 species